rfam:Desulfotomaculum hydrothermale Lam5 = DSM 18033, WGS project CAOS01000000 data, contig: ABX_2590_4
GUGCCUGUAGCUCAAUUGGAUAGAGCAUCUGACUACGGAUCAGAAGGUUAGGGGUUCGAGUCCCUUCAGGCACG